GGCUUUACUAUCUCCGGUACUGUCAUUAUCAUCCCGGGUAAAAGAGCUUUACAACCCUAAGGCCUUCAUCACUCACGCGGCAUUGCUGGAUCAGGCUUUCGCCCAUUGUCCAAUAUUCCCCACUGCUGCCUCCCGUAGGAGUCCCCCCGUGCCCCCGCCCCGCCCGCCGCGCGCGGCGGGCGGGGCGG
rnacentral:rRNA from 1 species